AUUGAACGCUGGCGGCAGGCUUAACACAUGCAAGUCGAGCGGGGGAAGGUAGCUUGCUACCGGACCUAGCGGCGGACGGGUGAGUAAUGCUUAGGAAUCUGCCUAUUAGUGGGGGACAACAUCUCGAAAGGGAUGCUAAUACCGCAUACGUCCUACGGGAGAAAGCAGGGGAUCUUCGGACCGUGCGCUAAUAGAUGAGCCUAAGUCGGAUUAGCUAGUUGGUGGGGUAAAGGCAUACCAAGGCGACGAUCUGUAGCGGGUCUGAGAGGAUGAUCCGCCACACUGGGACGGAGACACGGCCAGACUCCUACGGGAGGCAACAGUGGGGAAUAUUGGACAAUGGGGGGAACCCUGAUCCAGCCAUGCCGCGUGUGUGAAGAAGGCCUUAUGGUUGUAAAGCACUUUAAGCGGGGAGGAGGCUACUCUAGUUAAUACCUAGGGAUAGUGGACGUUACUCGCAGAAUAAGCACCGGCUAACUCUGUGCCAGCAGCCGCCGUAA
rnacentral:rRNA from 1 species